UGGCUUUUACCUAGGAGACCAAUGAAGGGGAAUAUCAGGAGAAUAACUAGUAGGAGACGGAGGAGGUAUUGGAAUCACUGUAAGCUCAGGUGAUGAUGAGGGAGUGGCAAGAUCCUUAGGCAGUGCAGACAUCUCAGUAGGCAUUGUAGACAGAUACGAAAGUGAAGUGGCAUUAGGAACAUCAGUAGGAAAUAAAUCAAUAGAUGGAUUAGUAAAGAAAGAGGGAGAGGUAAGAGUAGACAAAUGAAAAUAAGACAUAGAAGAGAACCCCAAAAAUGACAUUACGAGACAUACGAAGCCGCUUAGAUUGAGGAUCCCAGCAGCGAUAACCCUUAUGUUCUAUCCCAGGAAACAACAAAGACAAGCGCGAGGCUCUAAUUUUUUAUGCUUAUGAGGUUGAAGAAGUACAAAACAGGCACAACCGAAGAUACGAAGAUGGUUAUAGGAAGGAGGAUUACCAUACAACCGUUCAUAAGGGGAUUGGUUGUCCAAAAGAGGAGAUGGAAUAUGGUUGAUGGUAUAGAUAGCGGUGAGAGCGGCUUUCCCCCAGAAAUAUUUACGGUAAGAUGAGGAGAUAAGAAGGGCACGAACAGUGUCAAGAAUAUGACGGUGUUUACGGGUUCGGCGUAACCAUUUUGUUGAGAAGUGUUAGGGAAAGAUUCAUGAGAGAGGGUCCUUUAUAAGCCGAGGGAGGAGUGGAGGACAAGAAUGAUCUUCCGGAGAGGAAAGGGAAAAGGCGGACCCACGACCUCUUGGAACGAUGGGUAGGGAAAUUUUGGUGUGGAUCACGGCAGCAAAAUCUCGAUUGGUUUGAGGUAGUUCAAAUCUAUUGUGGAGUAAGUAGAUCCAUGUAAAUCGUGUAUAAUCAUCCACAAAAAUGAUAAAGUAUUUUGCACUACCCAUUGUAUUGUAUGGAGAGGGUUCCCAAAUAUUAGAGUGAAUAAGGUCGAAGGGAGCAGAGGUAAUAGAAUCACUAUUAUUAAAAGGUAGAGCCGGUUGUUUUGCAAGUUAACAUGACACACAAUCAAGUGGUCCAAUACUAACAGAGCCUAGUUGGCCACUUGAGAUUAAUCAACGCAAACGUCUAAGAAAAAUGUGACCAAGAAGAGAAUGCCAAAGAUGAAAAGAUGAUGGUGAGGUGGAAGCAGAAACGACGAGUGAAGGAUGUUGAAUGGAGACACGGAGAUGCAUGAGGUCAAAAGGUUGACCACAUAUAUAAGGUUAAGAGUAAGGGAAGGGAUACAUUGGGUAUGGGGAAGGGAGAGAUUAGAAGUAGGCACAGAACCAACAUGAUCAACAUGCAUAUAAGUACCAUCAGCAGUGCUAAUACGAAGAACAUGAGUAGUAGGUUGACGAGAAGUAAAUAACGAAGAAUCAGAGGUCAUGUAAUUACAAAAACCUGAGUUAAAAUACCAAGAUGAUGUACCUAUUGUGGCAGAUAGUGCAGUAGGAGGUGGAUUACCGGAGGAAGAGGCAAGUUGUCAAAGAAGUGCCUCGAUAUCAUUGAUGGAAAUGCCGGCUGAGAAAGAUGUGGGAGACUCCUCAGUUAUGGCAGCAGCAGAGCGGGAAGUAGACCGAUGUUGUUGAGAAUGUGGCUUACCUGGAGCUCGAGUAGAUGUUGGGUUUGGAUUUUUCGGACAAGCAUACUAGUAAUGACCAAGACCAGUCUGGCAACAGAAAUAGCAAGAACGAAUAGGGUAAUAGAGAAGACCAUGAUCAGUGCUAUGACACUAUCAGCAAUAGGGACAAGUAGAAAUACCACCCCUAGAUGGAGAAAAAGAACCAAUUUGAGAAGAGCUAUGUGGAGGGCCUCGUUGAGAAGGAGCAACAAGAACGACCUCAGUAUGAGAAUGACAAAGAGGGCCCAAUCGGGUUUCUUUAGAGAUAAGCUCAGAGAUGGCUUGCUCUAAGGUAGGAAGAGGCCUAUGGUAGAAAAGAGCAACACGAAAAAGCUCAAAAGUAUCAAUCAGAGCCAUCAAAAAUGUGACUAAUCGCUGUUGGUCCCGGUAAGCAAGGAAUAAUUCAGCAUCAGUAGAAUCUACCCAUACAGGCUCAGAAGGUGUCAACUAAUCCCAAAUAGCAUACAUCUGGGAGAGAAAAUAGUUGAUAGACUGACCAUGAGUCAACUUGAGGGAGUGGAGGGAAGUCAGGAGUUAAUACUGAUGGGCCAAGUCCUUGGUGGUGUAGCGUUGCAUAAGAAACUCCCAAAUUGCUUUGGCAGUCUUAAAUCGACCAAAUUGCAAACUAAUGGAUGGGGAGGAGGUGUUGCAGAACCACUUGAUUAUCUGAUGGUUCUUGUUAUCCCAAUCCUCAAGGCGCUCUUGGAAUUUGUCCUUAGCCUCAUUUCUAUCUUGGGUAGGUGCUGGAAUCGUGCCAGUAACAUAGCGCCAAAGUUUGUGCCCAUUGAGGAAGCUAGACAUAGCUUGGGCCCAAGGGAUAUAGUUGGCGCCCUCGAGGAUCACAGUGAUAGGUUGGGAAACUUCAGAGUGUGUCAUAGCAUCCCCUUUUUUUGGGCCAAAAUGCAAUUUUCAAAAAUUUCUGGGGCUGAAAUACAAUUUUUAAAAACUUUUGGGGCCAAAAAUAUAAUUUCCAGACACUACUGGGGACAAACUAUAAUUUUUAGAAACUUUUGGGCCAAAAAUAUAAUUUCUAGACACUAUGGGUCAAACUAAAUCUAUAAAAAGGUCUGAUGGCAUUGCAAUUGAUGUUGACUGGUCUCUUACGUGGCUAAUGACUGUGAAGCUGAUUAGGCGAUGACGAGGUUGUUGACGUGGCUUCUUCUUAUCCGGCGCUGGUGGUGUCGCGGGCGUUAACUCGCCAAAGUAGAACUUUGACUUGCUCGUACGGGCUCGUAUUAACUCCGUUUUUGAUGCUAUUUUUACCGUCGAACACGUAUCGAUAAGACAAACACACUGGUGUAGCCGAAACACAAUUUCGGUGAACUUGAUUUCUAGGCAGCUAGCAAGAAUUUCUCUGUUCUUGCUCAAGCACUAGAAGUGGAACGAACUGGAGUGAUAGCUCGAUCUAGGAAUGGACUUGGAAUAUGGGUUGAGCUAGGUCUUGAAGAGAUCAGAAGCUAUAGCUCUGAUACCAUGUUGAAUAAGACAUGUAAGAGAGAAAUAGGGAGAUAAAGAGAAUGUAUAUGUAUUGUUAUUCAGAAGAUGUAUAUUACAAUGGAACUGUACAGCUACAUAUAUACAUAUGACCCAUACAAUAUAAGGAAAGGAGAGGGAGCGUGGGCAUGCAAUCUGUUGAUUGCACAUAAUCCGAGAUGACAGGAUUGUGUGAAAUCACCAGAUUGCAUGCAAUCCGGGAUGUGUCUUGACAAUAUCGAAGACAAAUUGUGCCUAAAUAAUAUCAAAGAUGAUCCAUGCUAAUCGAGGAUAGAUUAUACCAUAUGUGCCUAGAUACCGUUUUGAAAAUUCUGUAGGAGUUAAGGUCAUUCAAGAUUUAGAGGACUGAUCAGAACAAGAGGACAAAAUUCCAAAUGUAUAACAAUACAUGGCACAUUGUACAGCUUCCCUAAUUAACUCCACUCACUUGGACUUGGGUAGUUGCAGAUCCACUGGUUAUGGUUAUACAUUGUCGGAAAUGGAUAAGCCCACUCAGCGUGGGAAGCUUCUAAAAACGUGGGACAUGGAGAUCAAACGUUGGAUACUUGACAAUCCCUCAUCCAAGCUGAAGCCACAAUAUCCAAUCAUCAAUAAUUUUUUCUCUGAAAACUUAUAGGUAAAUAUAACCUCAGAAUAGUAGUGGGCCAUAAAGAAACCGUUUUCAAAACUAUUUUAACCCAAUUGUUAAUUUUAAAAUCCAAGUCUUUUUAGCUCAAGUAUUUUUCUUUUUAAAGUGCAAGGUUAUUGUAAAUCCACUUGUUUUGGUUCAGUCCAAUUUAUUUUCUUUAAACCUCAAAUAUUUUAUUUUAAAGUUCAAAUAGUUUUUAGCCCAAAAUCUAUUUACUUAAUUUUAACCUGAUUAUUUUUUAGUUGAAAAAUAUGUUUGAAAGUCUGUUUUUAUUAAAAAAAAUAAUUUAUUAUUUUUUUUAUUUUUCCCCUUUUAGAAAUCAGAAUUUUUAGUUUUCUUUUUAGAUGGUGGAAACCACCCCAAAAGUUUCUAAGUCCAUAAGAUACCAAAUUUGAAAACCUAGGCUUACCUAUAAAUCGCCAUUCUCUUCUUCGUAAUACACAUUCAAAAAACUUAGAAAAAACUAGAGAAAAAAAGUAGAAAGAGGCUAGAGAAAUUUAAAUAGAGAAGUGUGAGAAAAAAUAUGAUUUAGAGAGUAGUGAGAGAGAAAGUAAACAAAUAUAUAUUUUAGGUUUCUAUAUUAUUGAGAGUACUGGAAAAAAAAAUAAGCAGAAAAGAGAAGAGAAAGUCACAUUUAAACUUGUAAACUUUGUUAGGAUUUAACUCGUUUUAAACUUAUAAACAAACACACACAAUCGAAAAACAAAUCAAAAACGUCAAACAAUAAGAAGCAAGAGCAAGACAUACAAAUUUUAAGUGGUUUGGCAAUUUGCCUACGUCCACGAAACUGCAGGAAUUUCACUAUUUAAAGAAAAAGUUGUAGAGAUGCGGCUAUCCAAUGUACCUAUUAACCCUAAAUACCAAAACAGCGGCUACAAAUCAGGCCCAAGCCUCUGCUCCAUGGACUAAACCUCAUUUAAAAUCUCAUUUAAAUCAUGCAACAUUUUUUCGGAUCGGGUCAUCAUCUGGAUCAACGCAAACUAGACUCAACAAAAGAACCCAACAAUUCUCCCACUUGGAGACUAGUUCAAUCACCAACGUCAACCUCAAUCCUUGAAAAAAAAAUAGUCCCUCAUCCCUACAGCUCAUUCUCCUGUCCUCAAGUUGAGAGGCCCACAGAAGCUGAACAAGACUUCAGCUUCUCCACAGUAACCACUUUCGUGAACAUGUAUGCCGGAUUAUCCCUUGUGUUGAUCUUCUCAAAAUUGAAAUAACUGGCACAUCCUCCAACAAAAGAGUCGAAUAAAUUGAUCUUCAUGUCACUAUGUUUUGGUUCUCGAAUGAAAGGCUGCAUUCUUCGCCAGAUGUAUCGCACUCUGACUAUCGCUGAACAAUUUAGAAUUGUCUUGCUCCAUACCUAACUCUCUUAUGAAACUCCUCAACCAUACCAUCUCCUUGCACGCCUCUGUAGUUGUAACAUACUCUGCCUCUAUUAUUGAACUAGUUACUAUUUUCUAUAGCCUCGAGACCCAACUGACUGCCGCACUGCCCAAUAUAAAAACAUACCCUAUAGUGCUCUUCCUACUGUCAAUGUCCCCUACCAGAUCAGAAUCUAUAAACUUUUUCGAACAAAUAUCAGAACCCCCAAAAUUCAAGCCAAAUCUAAAGUACCUUCAUAGCUCAGAAUCCACUUGACUGCUUCCCAAGCUCCUUGCCGGAUUUGCAUGAUCUGCUGAUAACUCCCACUAAACUAGUCAAUAUCUUGCCUUGUAUGAACCAUGGCAUUACAUCAAGCUACCUCUGCCGAGGUAUAUAAAAAAAACCUUUGUCAUAUCGUUUCCUUUCUCAUACUAUUACUGCACACUUUUCCUUCGAAGCUUGAAGUGACUUGCCAAAGUUGUUCUCCCUGGCUUAGCAUUGCUCCAUGUUGAACCGUUUCAGCACCUUUCACCAUACUCCUCAUGUGAAGAUUUCAACUCAUGUUUGCCCUGUCCUGACUAAUUUGCAUUCCAAGAAUUUUCUUCGCAGAGCCCAAGUCCUUCAUUGCAAACUCCUUUGACAGUUGUGCCUUGAGAUUAAUAAUCUCAUAUAUGCUUGAAUUUGCAAUAAACAUAUCAUCUACAUACAACAAAAAUAUGAGAUAUGACGUACCAAGCUUCUUAACAUAACAACAAUGGUCCCAAUGACAUCUAUUAAAUCCCAUAACUUCCAUAAAGGUAUCAAACCUUUUAUACCAUUGUCCUCGGACUGUUUCACACAUACUGACUCUUUCUUCAACUUGUUAUACUACGUCUUCCUUAGCUUUCACAACAUAACCCUUUGGAUGAGAUAUAUAAUGCCUCCUCCAAAUCCAUGAAGGAAAGCAGUUUUAACCUCCAAUUGCUCUAAUGCAGUUCUUAACAACCACAAUAUUAAGGCCACAUCCUGUAGUAGGAAUCUUACAACAUAGAUAAGAUUUCAGUGUAUCUAUACCUUAUUUCUGCUCUUAAACCUUUGACUACCAACCUUGCCCUUGUACCCAUUGUGCUCCCAUCAGAUUUUUGCUUAAUCCUAUUAACCCACUGUUGUUGCAACUCUUUCCCUUGGGUAAUUGAACCAAUUCCCAUUCAUUAAUGAAAGAAUCCGCUCUCAAUCCAGUGCAUGCCUCCAUUCCUGUUUGGACUCAACCUGCAACGCUUCUCAAAUAUUUUGGUUCACCACUAUCAGUACAAUAAUACUAAAGGAUGGAGAAUAACAUGCUCGGGUUUUUAUUGUACGGUUAGUCCUUUUGGGAAGAGGAGUCUGUGGAUCUAUCUGUUUGAGUAGAUUUGUGCAUUAGUAUCCUGAGGCUCUAAGACAUUUCUUAUUAGGGAUCCUCUUAACUCUAAAAGUCUGAUUUUACCUCGGCCUCCUUGGUUGACUUAGUCUGGUUCCAUACAAACUAACUCAUUAAAUACCACAUCAAUACUUCUGCGUGUUUUUUCGAUUCUCAGAAGCAUACACCUAUACCCAUAGCUAUUAGUAUCAUACCAUGAACCUGUCCUUACAAGACUUAGCAUCAAGUUUACCCCUCUCCUCCAAUUCUAUAUUCAUAUAGGCAAUGCAACCAAAAACGUUGUAUUGGCUAAAUUUACCUCCUUGCCACGAACCAAACAUCUUCUGACAAUCCACACUUCCAAGGAACUGAAGGUCCCCUAUUGAUCAAAUACACAGCGUUAUUUACCUCCUUCAGCCCAUAAUUGCUUAGUGUACCCAGCAUGUAACCUUCAUGCUUCUUUUCAAGCUCUAGGUCGUCCUAUUCCCCUUAACAACCGUCAUUCUGCCUUGGCUUCUUUGGGACUCGGUUUUUCAAACCUUCGAAUCCCAUUCACACACAGUAAGGCCUCAAAUUCACUACUACCUACUCGUCACACAUUUAUUGAUGUUUAGCACGUUCAAUUCAUCCCUGUUCUAUUCUUAACUAACGCUUUCCAAUUCUUGAAAACAUCAAACACAUCAGAUUUAUGCUUAAAAAAAUAAACCCAUAAUAUUCUAGUAGCGUCAUCAAUGAAAGUAACAAAAUAACAUGAACCACCAAUACAAGAUACCUUUGAUGGACCCCCACAUGUCGGUAUGAACAAGUUCUAACUUCUCCAUUUUUAGAGUCCUUGCCACCCUUAUAAAGCUGACCUUUUUUUGUUUCCCGAGAACACAACCCUCACAGAAGUGCAAAUCCAGCAACUUAUAACCCGGUAAUUUCCCCUUUGACAUCAUUACUUUUAUCCCCUUUUCGGUCAUAUGACCCAGCAUGCGAUGACACGUAAUGCAGUCAAUCCUUAAUACUGCCAUCGUGAUGCUACU
rnacentral:lncRNA from 1 species